CUGUAAGUCCAGGGAUAGGACUCUCAGCUCCAUGCAUGCCACCAUGAUGAUAAUGGACUGAAGCUCAGAAAAUGAUGUGUAGGACAGAGGACAAUAUUUGGGAGUUAUCUGUCUCCUCCCACCAUGUGGAGUAUGGGAUCUGAACUCAGGUCCUCGGCUCCCAUUCACACCAUGGCAAGCGAGGGACACAGGACCCUGGAGGACCUGAUGGGCAGCAGUGCUGGUAGGAGUAGUUCCAGAUGGGCUCCUCAGGUACUGACAGAGACAUCUGCUCCGUUUAGCACUGAAGUUGAUCAAGUACUCUGGGCCUUGGAGUGCACAUCUGCAACUUCCCGAUGCUGGGUGGACAUCCCCAAACUUCUGGAAGGAGAGCUUAUCUGUGCAGCAUUCAGCACAAACAGUCAUGAUUGUCUGUAGUCACUCAGGCAGGGACCGUGCCCAGGUGCUGAACAUCAGAGUGACAGCUGAAGGAUUUGCAUUCUCACAGGGGACUGGACAGAGUGUUUUGGCCAUGGUGCUUCCUUGAAACUCAAGUUCCAGAUCCUUCUUGGGGCUGGGGCCAUUGCUUGCCACUAGGACACGAGACAUGGCUGGCUCUUUGUUUUGUUUAUGUGUGUGCUCAUGUUCAUGUGAGUGUGUCCAUGUGUGUCUGACAGUGUGCGUGCAUGUGAAUCUAUACGCAUGGAGAGGUUCAUGGCCAGUAUCUUCCUUGGUUACUCUCUAACUUACUGGUUUUUCGUUGUUGCUGCUGCUGCUGCUGUUUUGUUUUGUUUCUUUUUGUUUGUUUGUUUGGUUGUUUGGUUUGGUUUUUCCAGACAAGAGUUUCUCUGUGAAACAGUCCUGGCUGUCCUGGAACUCACUCUGUAGAUGAGGCUGGCCUCGAACUCACAGAGCUCCACCUGCUUCUGCCUCCCGAGUGCUGGGAUUAAAGGAGUGAGCCACCAACGCCCCUGCUGCUGCUUUGUGUGUGUGUGCGCGCGCGCGCGCGCGCACGUGUGUGUGUGUGUGUGCGCGUGCGUGUGUGUGUGUGUGUGCGUGUGCGUGUGUGUGUGUGUGUGUGUGUGUGUGUGUGUGUGUUUUGCCUGCAUUUAUAUGCAUCGUGAGGGUGACCGGUGUCUGUGGAGGUUAGAAUAGGAGUCACUGAUGGUUGUGAACAGCUGUGUGGGUGCUGGAAACCAAACCUGGGUCCUUUGCAAGAGCAACAGCUCUUUAAAAAAAUUUUUUUUUCCAAAGCUACACAGAGAAACCCUGUCUCGAAAAAUCAAAAAAAAAUUUUUUUUAAUUUCAUUUUACAUUCCCACCAAAGUUCUCCUUCCCACCCUUCCUCCUUGCUCCUCCUCCCCUCCCCUCAGCCCAUCCCCCACCCACUCCUCCCAACAGGUAAGGGCUCCCAUGGGGAGUCACACCGUUUGGCACAUUAAGUUGGGCAGGACCAAGUCUCUCCCUGCUGUGUUAAGGCUGAGCAUGGCAUUUCCUCAUAGGCAAUGGGCUCUAACAAGCUAGCUCAUGCAGCAGGAAUAGAUCCUGGUCCUACAGUCAGGGCUCCCUCAGAUAGCCCAAGCUUCACAACUGUCUCCCACAUACAGAGAGACACAUGGAUCGCUCUGGGAAGGGAAAUUAGAUGAGAUCUCCCAGGUAAGCUGGGGGCGAGGG
ensembl:lncRNA